ensembl:lncRNA
AUGCAAUAAUGCUACACGCCUUGGCGCUUCUCUCCAGGAGCGUCGGUCGGGUGCGAGCGGACUGACUAGGCUACGCAUUGAAUCGAUGGGGAGGGGGGGGGGGACGCGUCGCCGCAAUAGCAGUCCUCGCUAUCAUUAUAGACAGUGAAUUUAAAGUGCUCCUCACGGUUAUUGUACACAGAGCACUUAUUUGCAAAUUUGGCGCCGUGCUGGAGAGGGGACAUGAUGACAAACACGGUGCGCACUGUAAGAAAUUGAUCCAAAAAAAAAGAAUAAAGGGACGCGGGUUCCGGAGCGUCGCCGGCUGUUCUGCUCGUCCGCCGACCUCUCCCCGCAGAUGUAGUUAUCGCUGCGCUGUCAGCAGCUCGUGGGAGCGAAGGGCGCGCGCGCACGCCGAGAUGUCGGCGGGGAGCCCGACGCCCCCGUCGCGCGACUCUUUCUGUGUCGCGCGUCCUGAACGAGGGGACCAGGGCUCCGCUUGGUCUGGAACCGGGACCGGGGCCGACACGGACACGGACCCCGACUCCGACGUGGACAUGGACAUGUUCUGCUGUCACCGUGUCCAGGAUUCUCUUCUGAGCUCUGAUAGCCGCUUCACAGACUACAGAGGGAUCCUCAACUGGAUCAUCAUUCUGCUGGUGAGCUUGUGUCUCUCACUCACUGUGUAAACACACUAUUUUGUUGAAGAUCGUAGAGAAUAUUGGUGGUCUUCAAAGCUCGGGUUGAUGAUUGAGGUGUUUGGUUGUUCGACUGGUGAUGAAACAUUCGCAACCUAAAUGCCAAGCUCGGCGAACAACCAAACACCUCAACACUCUUUCGUCCAUAAGUGAGGUGUACCGAGGUCUCCUUCCUCAUUCCAUCAUUGGGGUCUGCUGAUGCCAACCCCUGCCCUCUCAUUUUGAUGUGUCCAUUUCCUGUUUUUGGAAAGUGAUAGUUUUACUGCAAACAAAAUAGACUUGCAGCUGCAAAUGAAUUUAGUCUUUUCUCGACAUGCCAGCCAAGCGUUUCUUUGUAGACUCAAGACUGCCGCCGAAUACCGCACUUCCAAAAACCUGAAGGCCAAUAGUAAAAACUUUUUCUAGGUCUCCGCAACUGUGGGUUUUCGCUUCGUAAUUAUGGCGUGUUAUUUGCCGACUGAUGCCAGAAAAGAAUCGGUGAAAUACAUUUUGAAAUGCCUAUAGCACAAUGAAAGGGGGAGGGGGGGAUCUGAAUACUUUCUCCAUAUACUUUCUCCAUUUUUGCCCAUUACAACAUGGUUUUGUUGCCACAACAAGUGCUUUAUUCUGUAUAACUGCAUUGGCAUUUGUACAAGAGGUUACACUUGUUGAUGUCUCAAACCGAAAAGGUAUUUGUCCCUUGGCGGUGUCAAAAUAACUAUCUUCUGGCUAAAUGUAGUUUGUUAACUUCUAAAUUACCCAGGAAACAAUAUAUUAGGUCUGAAUGGUGUUCGGAUUCCUCUCUUUUAAUAUUGGCAAGUGCUGGAUGCAGGAAGAUGUUUGGUUUUUUAACAUUCACACGUCUUCAAUAACAAAACCGGUGAUUCCUGAACAUGACCUCAACUUUUUAUUUUUCUCUUUUAAUGAAUUGAGGUUGCAUGUUCUUAAUCUGGGAACCAGUAUUUUAUUCCAUAAAAAAUAAGGGAAAUUCAACCAUCCCCCACCCCAACAA